rnacentral:lncRNA from 1 species
GCUUCUCGACGUCCUCGAGCGGGCGGAACCACACCUUCUGGUCCAGCACCGUGCCUCCCGCAGCAUUCGCGGCGGCAGCGUCCGGCGCGCCAGCAGCAGCGGCCAGCUUGGGGUCCACCGCCGCCGGGCCGAACACGCCGGUCGUCGGGUGCGGGCUCCAGUACUUGUCGGGGUUCCCGGCGCCGCCGCCGAUCACAUCGUCCGGCACGAACGCCGGCCGCACCUGGUCCUCCAGGUUCUUGUCGUACGCCGAGGCGUGCACGGCCCUCCUGCACACGGGAAACACACGUCACCCAGAUGAGAUGAGGAGCGGUGAAUAACAGUAAAAAGUUCGUCUCGUGGUUCAUCCCCUAGAAUAUCGAAAACUUUUCACCCUCGAACGCAUCACGAUCGGAGGAGUUCCACGCGAGGCAGGGCUGCGCGCGCACAUGGACAUGGGGAAGAGGACACGCACGACUGCGGAUAAGAGCGAGGCGAGGCCAGGUGGCCGGCACCUCCAUCCCCACCCCCACUCACCUCCGUACCACGUUCGGUACUACAGAGCCACGCCGCAUCGGGCACCGUCCGAUGGGGGUGUUGGGUGUGUCCGGGGGACCAGCAACAGACGGCCCUGAUCGGUCGUCGGCCCGGCUCGAUGGGGAUCGGAGUACGGACCGGACGCGAAAGGACGGCAAGUGGGGCCCGGCGGAUGCGGGUGCUUCACGUCCUGGCCCCACCCGUCAUACGGAGGAGGAGGGGUCUCCUUUGAGUGAGAACCAAACCAAAGCGCCAGGAGCCAUGGCAGAUCGGCCGGCAAGCCGGUAGAUGGAGUGAUGAGUGGUGAGAGGGUGGAGCGACAACUACCGCGCACCAGACCCAUCCGUCCCCGAGAAAUUUUUCUGAAAGCGAUGCGAUUGCGAUGGAUGGAAGGAGGGGGCAAUCAGCAGGCCAACGGGUGGGUCGCUUGCUUUGAUGUGCCUCCAAACUCCACUGCUCCUCCUCAUCUUCUUUGUGUGGGUGCGCCUGCCUGCCAGUGGACAGUGCGAGUGCCCGAGUGGCGUGGCGUUUGGCUUUUCCUGACAGGCAGUCGUUCUUGCAGAUUUGACAGUCUGAAGUGGGCAGAACGGCACAGGAAAUAUCUACUGUGGAAAGCGCUCGAAAAGAACAGCGAAGAAGGCGGAGUAAAUCUAGCUUUUCAUGAAUCGAUCGAUUUUUAUCUGAAAGUUCAGAUAAAUAUUGAAAAAAAAAUCAGAUUGGAGAUUUUAAUGUUUAUGUCUAUUGACGUAUAAAUGUUGAGAUUUUUUUUCAACCCUAGUUAAACUUGAGAUUAUUGGCCUUUUGAUGAAGACAUCACUACACGGAUGAUGGAUCUGGUUUGAUUGGGAGAUGCAAGGAUUUCUACUUCUACGGAGAUGGAGUGGUGGCAUACUAAAUGAGUUCGGAAGUGGCACUGUGCCAGGCUUCCAUUUCCAUGUGCUCCCCCUUGGUUGGCCCCUCUAUUAUUGUGUUCUACGGUAAACAAGCUGGCGAUGUUCCCAAAGGCCAAAACAGAGGGUUGCCAUAUCUGCGUAGCAGACCAUGUGAGAAGAUGAGUUCUAGUAGAUUUUCUGCUGUUCCUGAGUUCUAGUAUAUUUUCUGCUGACCAAAAUCUUGGCACCAGCAGCACACUGAACCAGAGUUAUCCACAAAAAGCUACGAUAAGCAAACAGAUCGCUCUGCUACAACUACAACUAAACUACCCCAAAGAUCUUGGACGAACUGAACAAGAACAAGCAUCCUCAAACAUAGUACUAGCAGUAGCAGGUGAACAAAAAACCAUAAUCGCAGGGCAAAACCGAAAACCGCUUGUGGCCCGUCGUCUCAGUACCUCGGGGAAGCGGCCUUGCCGGCCAGGACGCGGCUGACGAAGCUUCCAGCGAUCGCCCGCCCCUUGGAACUAGCUGCUGCUGCCAUGCAAAGACCGGCCGUUCGGGAGCGGAGGUGAGGGGAGCAGUGAAACCGCUGUGCCGCGGCGAGGUUAGGGAAGAGAGGUUGAAAUGGUG